AUAUGAGAUUCUUUUGUUGUAAAACAUAUACAGUUCAUACAGUUCUCAUAAAUGCAGCCUGUCAAUAUUUUACAUAAAAGCUAUUUGAUACAUCUGAUUUAUUCAAUCAGAACAGAGAAGACCAAAUACUGGUCAGAGAAGUUUAAACUUAGUUGAUAAUUAAGACUGAGUUAAGAUCACAAUUAAACAUUGUAUUCAGACAGCCAUAAAUGUCCACAGGAUUUUCAAAAUAUGUUUUAUUUUGGCAAUAUGUACACUUAUCAUGACUUGUCCCUCACCUCAGGCCCCUAAGCAAUGAGAAUGUGAAAUACAAGAUCAGUCAAAGGCAGGACUGGGUGUCUUGAAAAUAGCCUGCAUUAAAAUGAGAGGGAGGGGUGAGGAGGAAGGUUAAGUAUUUUGAUCAGUAGAACAUGAUUGAUUGAAAUUCAUCCAUUGUCAUCCUAAAUGACUAAUUAGGCAACAUCCUUUUAAACAUAGUUUUUUUUAAAAAACAUUCCACUAACUGCAUAUGACAGAAAGAAAAAAAAAUUAAACCUUUGAGAUACAUUCCAUGUCACAGGAAGUUAAGCAAGUCAAAUAAGUUCUUGCCCUUUUUAUUGAGUCAACACAAAUGAAACAUAUAUUUUUGAAAAUCAGCAUAUACAAUGUGCAUGUUCAAAUUUGACUUUAAACAGAGAAAUGUGUUCCCUCAUUCAUUCACCUCAACAAGGAGUUUAUUUAUAAUUUAUUUAUUUAUAUAAUUACUAUGUGCUACACAUUGUUCUUCAUGUUGAAGAUACAAUAGUGAUGAAAAUAGGCAUACUCAUGGUCCUUAUGACCUUCAGGUACCAGUGUAGAGUGCUGUAUAUGUGCACAGAGGUAGAGGGAGAGACACCAAACCAAAGGAACAUUUGAAUUGAAGUAGUAAAGUUUAUCACCAAGGCAGCUAGCUAGUUUAUGACAUGCUGGAAGAAUGUUGUACAUUUCAUUUUUUGCUCCUUUCAUAGUCUUUGUCUAAUUCUAUCCUAUUUUUAUAAGCUUGGAAAACUUUAUCAUGAGUCUGUAUAGUCUAACUUGUUUUUGCAAUGUUGUAUGAUUCUCUUGGAGUAAAAAAGUUCGUUGUCUAAAUUGACCAGUCUGGGUAAAUUUAAAAGUAGUUUCUCUAACAUUGAGGAUUUUGAAAAAGACAAAAUAAAUCACACAUAAGCACACACACAAGUCACUAAGAAGGGUGAAUAGAAGCAACACUAUUCAUUUAUCUUCAGAAACAUUUAACUGCCAAAUCACAAUGUAUCAGUCUAAAAGGCAAAUUUGAAGCUUUCUUAUUUUGAAACAAUAAGAUAAGCUGAAUAUAUAGAUUUAUCAUAAAUGACUUAAAGUGCAAUUCUGACAGAAUUAAAUUUUUUUCUCUUGCUUCCAAAUGUAUAUUUUACAUUAUUAUUAAAUUUUCAUUCUCCCUGUGGAACCAGCAACUAAUAUUUGCUGUGUAGUCCAUGUGCACCUUAUAAAUAUGAGUACUAUUUACAGGAAUGUUACAUACAUACUUUGGCUUGACCAAUAUUAGCAAGAAAGUUAUGGUGCUAGUAUAUCUUAAUGAGUAUAUUUAGGUCCCUAGCACAUUCCUAAUACUUACAUAUAUUUUUGGCUUGUCACCAUUGACAUCUAGGAAAUUUUGAGUGACUGCCUUCUGCAAUAAUUUCAAGUUCUGUUUUGUCUUGUUCUGCUGAUAAUGGAGAUUUAAAAGUACUCAGUUCUUCCCCUAUAUCUUUCUUUGAAGUCCUACUUCGUGAUGAAUGACACUCAGUAUUCUUAUUUUAGUGUUGAAAAUAA